AAUGAACGCUGGCGGCAUGCCUUACACAUGCAAGUCGAACGGCAGCAUGACCUAGCUUGCUUGGUUGAUGGCGAGUGGCGAACGGGUGAGUAAUGCAUCGGAACGUGCCUUUUAGUGGGGGAUAACGUAGCGAAAGUUACGCUAAUACCGCAUAUUCUCUGAGGAGGAAAGCAGGGGACCUUCGGGCCUUGCGCUAGAAGAGCGGCCGAUGUCGGAUUAGCUAGUUGGUGAGGUAAAGGCUCACCAAGGCAACGAUCCGUAGCGGGUUUGAGAGGAUGAUCCGCCCAACUGGGACCGGGAACCGGGCCAGACCCCAUAGGGAGGGCGCGGGGGGGAAAUUUGGAAAAUGGGCGCAAGCCUGAUCCAGCCAUGCCGCGUGAGUGAAGAAGGCCUUCGGGUUGUAAAGCUCUUUCGGCUGGGAAGAAAUCGCACCCUCUAAUACAGGGUGUGGAUGACGGUACCAGCAUAAGAAGCACCGGCUAACUACGUG
rnacentral:rRNA from 1 species